UAAGCGGACGUGUGAACGUCCGUUGAACUGUCAGAAGUCAGCAGAAGCCAUAGUACCAACUUGAUCUAGACAAGCUGGGAAGGGC
rfam:Bacillus akibai JCM 9157 DNA, contig:contig_115.